rnacentral:lncRNA from 1 species
CACCAUUCCAGGUCUCAAAUAUUUCUUCUGGCGGUUCCUUCUUUUUUCUCUAUUGAGUUCAAGUAGAGAAGGUCGCAACGUGAAGACGGUACGUUUGCUCUCAUCCAGACAUAUAUCGAAAGGUCUUCUCUCAGAAUCACAUCCAGCAAGUUUCCAGCUACAGGAAGAACUUUUCCUAUCUACAGAAGCUUUUGCUUCUCCUUGUUUAACAUCUCGGAAAGGACCGCCUCGUGUGUCACUAUAACUUUCGAACGUUUUGCUCUCAUCCACACAUGUAUCGAAAGGUCUUCUCUCAGAAUCACAUUCAGCAAGUUUCGAGCUACAGGAAGAACUUUUCCUAUCUACAGAAGCUUUUGCUUCUUCUUGUUUAACAGUUCGAAGAGGAAUGCCUCGUGUGCCACU